rnacentral:rRNA from 1 species
CGAAGGUGCAAGCGUUACUCGGAAUUACUGGGCGUAAAGCGUGCGUAGGUGGUCGUUUAAGUCUGUUGUGAAAGCCCUGGGCUCAACCUGGGAACUGCAGUGGAAACUGGACGACUAGAGUGUGGUAGAGGGUAGCGGAAUUCCCGGUGUAGCAGUGAAAUGCGUAGAGAUCGGGAGGAACAUCCAUGGCGAAGGCAGCUACCUGGACCAACACUGACACUGAGGCACGAAAGCGUGGGGAGCAAACAGGAUU